AAUGAUGGCGGUGUUUAUACGCAGUUAAAAAUUCUUAAUCCAUCAAAAAGUUGUUUGGCUUAGUCAGUCGUUUGUGAAAGCACAGAAUUACUUUCCUUGCUUCAAUUUGAUAUAAUUUUGAUGUAAAAACUAAAUUAGCUCAAAUGGGUGGCCGUGUCUUACGACAAAACAAAAUUCAAGGAAUGUGUGCCUGUGGAUAUUCACGGUAUAAUUAUUUUUGACCGGAUAUGAAACAAAAAUAACCUUCCAGGACACAGUCUUUUUAUUUUUAAUAGAGUUUUGGGUAUUUUUCUGCUACUUGGUAGUUAAUCUAAUUACUUAUUCCUUCUCAUAUGCGUGAAUGCAGACACAGAGGACCCUUUUGUGUGCCUCAGACUUACAUUUUAUGGAUUUUGUGUGUGUGUGUGUGUGUGUGUGUCUGAAAUAUAAGAUGUAAAAAAAACAAAAAAACACUUGAUUUCUGUGUAGUGGUAACAGAGUCCAGAUGUGCAGUAUUAAUAGCAGUGGAUGAAUUUCAGGUUGUGCCCGUAGGCAUCUGUAAACGUCCGUCCCUUAGUGUCUACUUACACAAGCUUACAGUUUCCCCACUCAAUCUUUUUAUGACAGCUUUUCUCCUGUUAGUGGUUGUCACUUGGAUGACCUUCUGUGUAACAAAUUUUCUACUUCAUUCUUCAGACUACCAUUUGUUCACUGGCUCAAAAGUCUGUCUAAAAAGUCCAAAUCCAACCCAUUCUUUCAGGGGCUUUGGAGACUAAUCACUCAAUAUUCAGCACAGUGCCCUUUUUUCAGGGGCUAUACAGACACCUUACAAAUCUCUACACACAACAGCUGAGGAAAAACAGACCGUGUAAUAUGAAGGAGUCGGAGCCCCAGCCUAAAAGAGCUAAAUUGGUGUCACCAGUCAUAAUGUUAUUAGCUGGGAUAGUAAUUCAGUGAGACUGAUUAUAUUAGACACAGAACAUGGUGCCCUGGCAACAUCUCAAGCUUUUGACAAUACCCACAUUGAGCUGGAAGCAUGUUGACUGCAGGCAGAAAACAAGCGAAGGGGACGCUCUUGCAGGCUCUCGCAGUGCAGUUGUUGUAAUUGCCUGUUCAACCAAUGUUCAGCUGUCAGAGCAGAACUGCUCAUGUGUAAGCUGAAAGAUAAACAGAUGAUGACUGUGAGUAAAGAGUAACCUUUUCUAUUACAAGUCAUGUAGUCUCCAAAAAUAUUCAGAAUUAGGGUUGUCAUCAGAG
ensembl:lncRNA